rnacentral:rRNA from 1 species
UACGAAGGGGGCAAGCGUUGUUCGGAAUUACUGGGCGUAAAGGGCGCGUAGGCGGCUUGCCAAGUCAGGCGUGAAAUUCCCGGGCUCAACCUGGGGGCUGCGCUUGAUACUGGCUGGCUUGAAUGCGGGAGAGGAUAGUGGAAUUCCCAGUGUAGAGGUGAAAUUCGUAGAUAUUAGGAAGAACACCGGUGGCGAAGGCGGCCCACUGGAUCGGUACUGACGCUGAGGUGCGAAAGCGUGGGGAGCAAACAGG